rnacentral:lncRNA from 10 species
UGACUUCCCUGUUUUUCUGUCUCUCAGGGGCCACAGCUUCCCUAGGUGGAAGUGCAACGACAAGAGGUAGAAUAACCACCGCUACCACUGGGGCAUUCUCUGGAAAGACUCUGGAGCCUGGGAACGACAGCACAGAGGCCACAAGUUCCACAGGAGAGGUCAGGACCACCAGGUCAGAAGCUCCAGGAGGUACUUCUGGUGAAUUCCCUGGGACAACAAUUACAUCUGGAGGUUCCCACACAGAGACCACAACUUUCACAAGAGGCAGGGGCAGUACAGAAACUGACUCCAGAGCAGCCACCACCAGGGCAGCUCCUGGCACAACUCUUGCCCCUGGCAGUUCCAACACGGGGGCCACAGCUUCCCUAGGUGGAAGUGCAACGACAAGAGGUAGAAUAACCACCGCUACCACUGGGGCAUUCUCUGGAAAGACUCUGGAGCCUGGGAAUGACAACACAGGCAAGUUCAAAGCCACACAGGGAAUGCUACACCAUGGCUGCUUGGGUGACAGGCUCCUAGGGUUACAUAACCCUGCACUCCCCAUACUGCAGACUUCAUUCUUGCUUUCUUUUCUCUCAGAGGCCACAAGUUCCACGGGAGUGGUCAGGGCCCCUGGGUCAGAAGCUCCAGGAGGUACCUCUGGUGAAUUCCCUGGGACAACAAUUACAUCUGGAGGUUCCCACACAGGUAGUUGAAUGGGAAGGAAAUCCUCAUCUUGAAAGCAUCUUGACUUUGAGGAGCUGCAAUCACAAAAUAGCAACUCAUGCUUUUUACCAGUGUCUCCCAGACCUCUUGAUCCUAUUCUUCCUUUUCUCAGAGGUCACAACUUUCACAGGAGGCAGGGGCAGUACAGGAACUGAAUCCAGAGCAGGGGAGGAAGAGCAGCCCAUAAUUCACAUAUUACCAGGAAUCUUGACUCUCAUUAGAAUGUCUUGUUUGGGUGUGGACUUUUCUGCAGAAUAUUAUGCAUUUAUUUAAGUAUAAUGGAUCUUAGGUCCCACAGAAUUUUCUUUAGAUUUUACUGUUUAUAAAACUUUACCAAUAGCCUCUUUUAAAGUGAGAUUUCUG